UAUAUAAUAUUUAUAUGGUCCAGGACUUGAGCCCCCAGCCUAGGACAGGAAGGACAGUGCUGUUGCAAACCCAACAUUUGACCAUCACUGAUACCUUGUUCAGGGAAGGAGACAGAGCAUCCCUGGCACUGAGUCUGAUCUUCCCUGGGGACUUCAGUCCCUGGCAGUAGCAAUCUUUGCAUGUACACUCAGAGAGCUGCCACAAUAUGCGACAAACAUCAAUGUCAGCAUUACAGGAAGCACCAUCACAGCACCUUCCCCUCUCAUUCUGUACUUAGACACAGGUUUUCACUUUGUAUGUGUGUUGUAUGUGUGCUUAUGUGUGUGUUCAUGUCUGCAGGUCCACAUCCAUGUGUGUGAAAGUGCACGAGGAGGAUAUGGAAUGCUGCCACAUAUCUUGCUAUAAAUAUACACAUAGUUACAGGAGCCAGGAUAAUUUAUGUUCAGGCCUCUGCUACCUCAUACAGUAGCCUGUUGCUAUGGUUAAAGGCUGUGGUGUUGGUGUGAGGGAGCUCAGAGAUGGGCUGGGAUUUGGAAGGAACUGCAGGUUUGUUGGGCUGUAUGUUGGGAAAAAUAUAUACAAUCUCUGUGAUGAAGUCCUGCCUAAACCUCAGUGUGCUAUACUGGGAGAUAGGAGUGAGGAAGUGUAUGAAGCAUAAUGUGGUCCUUGAAGUGAUCUUUAGCAGGUCCUGUUCUAGAGCAGUAGAUACAGUUGCAGUAAGUAUGGGCAGGGUGUGUGUGUGUGUGUGUGUGUGUGUGUGUGUGAACAUGCACACACUAAAGACCUUGCAGAACAAGUUUUCAGGGAGACAACACCUACAACUCAGCAGAAAAUCUGCCUAGGGAAUGGUCACACCCAGCUUGGAUCAUAUGAAAAGACUCCAGGCUCUAGACCAGUGCUGGAUGAAGCUCUGCUGUUGUGCCCUAAGCCAGGGACAACUAUCAGCUAUGGCAGCCCAUAGAGUCCAGGGCAGGUAGGAGAUGGUCCAGAGUCCUACCAUCUGGGCUUCUGAAAGGACUUUGCUUUUUCACAGUAAUAAUCUUGUCUUUUAUGUCCAGGGGUUGUCUCCAGCAUGACCGAAAGCAGGUACUCAACAGGACAUAUCAUUCCAGCACUCUAUGUAACCCUGCACACUAUACAUAAUUAUAUUUAAAUUGUAUGUUAGUGUGCAUGAUCUGGGAGUACAUAUACGGGAGUGCAUGUGCCUUCAGGUAUAAAGGCAUGCAGGAAAGAGCAGGAGCAAGGACCCGAAUGGCAGUGACAGGGGCUCUGUGAAGUUCUUGAGGUGUUCCUUAUUUAACACAACAGGAGUUUGGUUAAGCCAGAACAGCAGUAAAUACAAGGGUGCCUGCCGAAUGGCAUGCUAGAUAUAGACUCAGGGAGAAGACACCAUACAUGUGCCAGGAAGGGAGGCCUCUGGAAGAAACUGUCAAGUCAGUGCCUGCUUUUAAGACUCAAAGCUCAUGCCUAUAAGUGAUUAACUACUUACACUGUCCCCUAUGUCAUUAAGUCACGGAACAUAUGCUACACAGGUUCAUAAGGAAGUGCUCUCCCAGGACCUUUUCUGUGGCUUUUUUUAAACACGAACCUUCCUAGAAAUCUUUAUUUUCAACUCACAGGCCCUUCCCUGCAUGGACACAGACACUGAUAUCACAUCUUCUCUUUGUCUACUUUUCAUAUUUAUAUUUAUGGGUGUUAAUGUAUUAGUGAAUGAAUCUGUGUGCAUUGUGUGUGUGUAGAGGAUCAUGUCAGUUGUUUCUUUAGUGACAUUCUCAGAAGUCAUCAAAUACCAUGAUGAGGCCAGGGAGGGAAACUUCCUGAAAUGCUGCUUUCUGGGAAAUCCUAGUACAAUCUGUGUUUAAUGGCGGUGAAGAUACAGGUUGGAGGCCAAAAUUUCAAUCGAUUUGAUACCAGUCCAAAAGGCACCUGUGUGUCUGGACACCCUUUGAGCUUUCCUAAACAGAGUGAGGCUUGACUUCCGUGACCUCACAGAAGGGGUCACUGUCAUGGUUAUGGGUGUGUCCUAGUUCUGAGGGCAGCAGAGUCCAUGAUAGGAGAAGUUGGCAGGGAUCCUUUCUAGGUCUUCCUAGAUGAGACCCUUCAGAGAUCAAGGAGAAGCUGACCUCAAGUGUGACCUGUGCCAUACCCACUACUCCAAAAAGGUUGGACACAGUUUAACCACAAGAAGAGCUGGUCUGAUGAGUGCAAUGAUGGCAAAAGCCAUAAAGUGACAUCAGUGGGAUCCUGGCAGCCUUCUGACUACCAAGUACCCUGGGUCCAGCUUAAAUUCAAGGGUGUAUGGGACACACCCUUUCUUUUUAUGAUCUUGGACAAUCCUCACUACAAGGAAGCCAGGACCACACCAAGGCCUUGUAGUCUUACAUUAUUCUUUAGCAGGCAUUUUAUGCCCUAGCAUUGUGUAUCUAGUUUUCAAUAAAUAUAACUUUCACCUGCUA